ACCGCUCCAGCGGGUAACAGGCGGUGUAACAGGCCCUGAGGAUUCUCUGCUCUGCGCUGCCCCUGCCUUCCUGUGCUUAUAGUCCAGCGGGAGAGAGUCGGUAGUCAAAUAAUUGCACCUCUGCACGUUUACAAACUGUGGACAGUGCCAAAAAGGAGAAGCACAGAGUGCAGGAAGUGGCAGGGAGUGUGGUAGAGGCAGUGCAGAGCUGGCCAGCUGCCGCGUGGACAGCGGGUAGUAAAGACGGGACAACUCUAUGCCACAACCUGGAGAGAUUAAAAUGCCACCUAAUUGCUGCAGAUCACUGAUUUCGAUCACUGAUUUCCCAAACUGACAAAACUGAAAGAUGAAGACCCCUGACGCUGUUGAGAAACAGGCACCUAACCCCAGGCAUGAAUUAGUACAUGGGAGAAAACAUCAGGCAAAACAAUUACUCUAGAGACUUUGGGAGUUUCAAGACAACUGAAUGCACGAUAAGAAAGGGGAUAUCUUGGAGAAGACAGACUGCUCAUCUCUACUGGGAUUCUUCUGUAAGUCACAUUAUUGACUUCAAGAGGCCAUGAAAGUGUGUCUUUCCUUGAGACAGUAAACUCUCUGUUUUCUGAAGUGAAUGGAAAAAAAGGGGUGUAUUGGUUUGCCAUGUCGGUUUCCAGAAAUGAGUAUACUGUACAAUGUACUUCAUCUACAAUGCUGCCAAAUAUAAUUUAUUGUUACUCAGAUGAUUCAGAAGACCUUCUGGUAUCUCAUCAAGGUAAACAGCAAAUAUUUUGUGCUGCAGCUGUGUGGAGGAGACAUUGCCCAGUGAUUUCUAGAAAUGAGUCAGAAAAAUAAAAAUAAAUGCUUUUCUCUGUUAUAA